GACGAACGCUGGCGGCGUGCCUAAUGCAUGCAAGUCGAGCGAGCUACAGUCUUCGGACUGUAGCUUAGCGGCGAACGGGUGAGUAACACGUAGGUGAUCUACCCUUCAGAGGAGGACAACCUCAGGAAACUGAGGCUAAACCUUCAUACGUUCACUGGUAGGGAUACUGGUGAAGAAAGAGUUACCGUCAAGGUAGCUGCUGAAGGAUGAGCCUGCGGCCCAUCAGGUAGUUGGUGAGGUAACGGCUCACCAAGCCGAAGACGGGUAACCGGUCUGAGAGGAUGUCCGGUCACACUGGGACUGAGACACGGCCCAGACUCCUACGGGAGGCAGCAGCAGGGAAUCUUGGGCAAUGGGCGAAAGCCUGACCCAGCGACGCCGCGUGGAGGAAGAAGUCCUUCGGGGCGUAAACUCCUGGACUGGGGGACGAGGAAGGACGGUACCCCAGUAGAAAGGGACGGCUAACUACGUGCCAGCAGCCGCGGUAAAACGUAGGUCCCGAGCGUUGUUCGGAUUCACUGGGUGUAAAGGGCGCGUAGGUGGUUGUCUGUGUCUCAUGUGAAAACUCAGGGCUCAACUCUGAGAUUGCGUGGGAAACUAGGCAGCUAGAGGACGGUAGAGGGGAGUGGAAUUCCCGGUGUAGCGGUAAAAUGCGUAGAUAUCGGGAGGAACACCGGUGGCGAAGGCGGCUCUCUGGGCCGAUCCUGACGCUGAGGCGCGAAAGCUAGGGGAGCGAACC
rnacentral:rRNA from 1 species